rnacentral:rRNA from 2 species
GCGCGAAACCUCCGCAAUGUGAGAAAUCGCGACGGGGGGAUCCCAAGUGCCAUUCUUAACGGGAUGGCUUUUCAUUAGUGUAAAGAGCUUUUGGAAUAAGGGCUGGGCAAGACCGGUGCCAGCCGCCGCGGUAACACCGGCAGCUCGAGUGGUAGCUGUUUUUAUUGGGCCUAAAGCGUUCGUAGCCGGUUUAAUAAGUCUUUGGUGAAAGCUUGUAGCUUAACUAUAAGAAUUGCUGGAGAUACUAUUAGACUUGAAGUCGGGAGAGGUUAGAGGUACUACCGGGGUAGGGGUGAAAUCCUAUAAUCCUGGGAGGACCACCUGUGGCGAAGGCGUCUAACUGGAACGAUCUUGACGGUGAGUAACGAAAGCCAGGGGCGCGAACCGG